GAAAUGCGAAAAGUAAUGUGACUUGCAGUCUGUGAAUCAUCGAAUUUUUGAACGCAACUUGCACCCUCUGGUAAUCCGGAGGGUAUGCCUGUUUGAGUGUCAUUUAAUAAUUAUCUACAUAUUGCCUGUAUAUAAAAAGAAUAUGUAGGAAUUGAGCUUUCUAUGUGCAAGUAGUGGCUUUAAAUUAAGGAAAUGAUUAUAAAUGUAUUUGUUUUUAUAGAUAUCCCUGAUCAUUAUCUGUGACUAAAAAAAAUACACAUGUAAGAUCCUUUUCUUAUCCAUGUCAUAUAUAUACUUUUAUGUUAUAUAUACAUACUUAUCAAAAACUGACCUCAAAUCAGGUAAGAAUACCCGCUGGACUUAA
rnacentral:misc_RNA from 1 species